rnacentral:rRNA from 1 species
GACAGAGGGUGCAAACGUUGUUCGGAAUUACUGGGCAUAAAGAGCACGUAGGUGGUGCGCUAAGUCACGUGUGAAAUCCCCCGGCUCAACCGGGGAAUUGCGCGUGAUACUGGCGGACUCGAGGCGGGUAGGGGGGAGCGGAACUCCAGGUGGAGCGGUGAAAUGCGUAGAUAUCAGGAGGAACACCUGUGGUGUAGACAGCUUACUGGACCAUUUCUGACGCUGAGACACGAAAGCGUGGGUAGCAAACAGG